GUGAGGAAUUUUCCGCAAUGGGCGAAAGCCUGACGGAGCAAUGCCGCGUGAAGGAUGAAGGCCUAUGGGUUGUAAACUUCUUUUCUCAGAAAAGAAUUAUGACGGUAUCUGAGGAAUAAGCAUCGGCUAACUCUGUGCCAGCAGCCGCGGUAAUACGAAGGUCCCAAGCGUUGUUCGGAAUCACUGGGCGUAAAGGGAGCGUAGGCUGCGCGGUAAGUCAGGUGUGAAAUCCCGGGGCUCAACCCCGGAACUGCACCCGAUACUGCCGUGCUAGAGGGUUGGAGAGGUGACUGGAAUUCUCGGUGUAGCAGUGAAAUGCGUGGAUAUCGAGAGGAACACUCGUGGCGAAGGCGAGUCACUGGACAACAUCUGACGCUGAGGCUCGAAGGCCAGGGGAGCAAAAGGGAUUAGAUACCCGGGUAGUCC
rnacentral:rRNA from 1 species